CCAGAGCUGAAGGGCAGCACCGGCCUGCACAUCCAGCUAGAAGCUGGUCCCGUGCUGGGCGAGCUUGUCACAUCAGAGGCAGGAGAAACCAAGCAAGAAACCCUGCUGUAGGCUUAACAGAAACAGCAACCACAGCGCGCAGCACAGCCCCGGUCUCAUGCAUAUGUGAGGCACUGCCCUGACAGCCCAUGCUACAGAAACCAGUCACAAGCAAAGGCCACCUCGCCUGCAAGUGAGAGGGGAGCCUACCGCGAGAUCACUGGGGGCCUAGGGGCAAGGACUCCAGCGACGGCGCUUCCCAGUCUCCCCGUUUCUCCAAAGAGCAUCAAUAAAAGUUGCUCUGCA